GAUGAACGCUGGCGGCGUGCCUAAUACAUGCAAGUCGAGCGAACGGACGAGAAGCUUGCUUUUCUGAUGUUAGCGGCGGACGGGUGAGUAACACGUGGAUAACCUACCUAUAAGACUGGGAUAACUUCGGGAAACCGGAGCUAAUACCGGAUAAUAUUUUGAACCGCAUGGUUCAAAAGUGAAAGACGGUCUUGCUGUCACUUAUAGAUGGAUCCGCGCUGCAUUAGCCAGUUGGUAAGGUAACGGCUUACCAAGGCAACGAUGCAUAGCCGACCUGAGAGGGUGAUCGGCCACACUGGAACUGAGACACGGUCCAGACUCCUACGGGAGGCAGCAGUAGGGAAUCUUCCGCAAUGGGCGAAAGCCUGACGGAGCGACGCCGCGUGAGUGAUGAAGGUCUUCGGAUCGUAAAACUCUGUUAUUAGGGAAGAACAUAUGUGUAAGUAACUGUGCACAUCUUGACGGUACCUAAUCAGAAAGCCACGGCUAACUACGUG
rnacentral:rRNA from 1 species